GUUCACCUCAAAAUGCUGAUCUUCGACAUGUGUCAGCAGAGGAUAGUUGGACUAACUUAGCCUCGACCUCAGAGUGAUACUCUCUUCAAUCGAUCUAUCAAAAGAUCGAUCUCGAGAGUGGGGGGCAUCUAUUGUGGAUCUAUACCUCGGCUUCGGCUGUUACAUCCUUGGCUCCGACCGAGCUAUGGAAGGGAUGCUUACCAGAUUGUGAAUAUACGAC
rnacentral:lncRNA from 1 species